CCUAAUACACACUAGCGAACCCACAGUCUCAUUAUUCUCUAAAGUUUGAAACGGUACCCCUCUCUCUCGCCAUUCUCUGUCGACUCCGGUGAGCGGCCGCCCUGAAUCGCAGCCUCCCUCUGGCGCGAAGAGGUCGGCCCCUGUUCUUCCUCCUCCUCUCCUUCCCUUUUGUGCCCUAUUUUUUCCCCAAGAACAAAAUCCUCAAUUUCUAGGGUUUUCAGCCUCUCUUUCCUCUCUGAAUUUCGCCCCUCCGGCGAAUCCCGCCACUACCACCGCCGCCUCGCACAGCUGCUCCCUGCCUCAGAUUUGGGGAUAACCAUCCAUUUUGACUGCAUUUUCCAAGAGCUUCAAAUGGUGGGAUAUGGAUGGGCUGGGAUGUUGAGAAAAUACUUGGUUGAUCCAGUUGAGAUGUGGUGGCCUUCCAAUGUCACGCAAGUGUCCUUGUUUAGGUGAACUCGCUCGUGUUGGUGGAGGCUCAUUAGUGUAAUUGAGUUUAUCAUCUUGGCGGAUCAAGUAGAUGGGAGUCGAUGAGCUAUGAGGACUACUACAAAAGAGAAGGCUGAAGCAGAGAACGUCGUUUCAAAUGUCUAGCAAGUUGCGCGCAUUUGUAAUAUUUUUUAAUUAAUCAUAUAGCUAACUAGAAUAUUUGUGUUUGUUUUCAUUAUAUUUGGAUGAUAAUGUAUGAAUAUUUCGGAUAUUAUAUAAUAUAUGUUAUCGAUGGCAA